rnacentral:rRNA from 1 species
GUACACGCUGUGACUAGCAUAUCAAUAAGCGGAGGAAAAGAAACUAACAAGGAUUCCCCUAGUAACGGCGAGUGAAGCGGGAAGAGCUCAAAUUUGAAAUCUUAAAGGGUUUCCCUUUACGAAUCGUAGUUUAAAGAAGUGUUUUCUGUUGAGGUUUUGGUAAAAGUUCUUUGGAAUAGGACAUCAUAGAGGGUGAGAAUCCCGUAUUUGACCUUUACUUUCAACUUUGUGAUACACUUUCAAAGAGUCGGAUUGUUUGGGAAUGCAGUCCAAAAUGGGUGGUAAAUUUCAUCUAAAGCUAAAUAUUGGCGAGAGACCGAUAGCGAACAAGUACCGUGAGGGAAAGAUGAAAAGAACUUUGAAAAGAGAGUUAAACAGUACGUGAAAUUGUCAAAAGGGAAGCGUUUGACACCAGUGUUGUUUUUCUGAAAAUCAAUUAAAGAACUGUUUAUGCUAAGCUGUUUAGACUUUAUCAGCUAUCUGUUUAGUUUUGAGCUUUUCUUUAAUGCACUUUUCAGUUAACAAGUCAACAUCAAUUUCUUUUGCUGUAAAAGAGCUUGAGGAAGGUGGCUUGAGAUUCGUCUUAAGUGUUUAUAGCCUCUUGCCUAUGCAGUCGGAGAGAUUGAGGUCUGCAGCGUAGAUCCUUCGGGGCUAAAUGCAUUUGUGCUAAGUUAUAGCAUUUUAUAGACAACUUGUUGACUAUGAUUUGUCUUGUAGCUUACUCGCUUAUGUUAUUUUACCUACGCUUAGGAUGUUGAAGAUGUAGCACAUCAU